rnacentral:rRNA from 1 species
CCCGGAAGGGGAGUGAAAUAGAACCUGAAACCGUGUGCUUACAAGUAGUCAGAGCCCGUUAAUGGGUGAUGGCGUGCCUUUUGUAGAAUGAACCGGCGAGUUACGAUUUGAUGCAAGGUUAAGCAGUAAAUGUGGAGCCGUAGCGAAAGCGAGUCUGAAUAGGGCGUUUAGUAUUUGGUCGUAGACCCGAAACCAGGUGAUCUACCCUUGGUCAGGUUGAAGUUCAGGUAACACUGAAUGGAGGACCGAACCGACUUACGUUGAAAAGUGAGCGGAUGAACUGAGGGUAGCGGAGAAAUUCCAAUCGAACCUGGAGAUAGCUGGUUCUCUCCGAAAUAGCUUUAGGGCUAGCCUCAAGUGAUGAUUAUUGGAGGUAGAGCACUGUUUGGACGAGGGGCCCCUCUCGGGUUACCGAAUUCAGACAAACUCCGAAUGCCAAUUAAUUUAACUUGGGAGUCAGAACAUGGGUGAUAAGGUCCGUGUUCGAAAGGGAAACAGCCCAGACCACCAGCUAAGGUCCCAAAAUAUAUGUUAAGUGGAAAAGGAUGUGGCGUUGCCCAGACAACUAGGAUGUUGGCUUAGAAGCAGCCAUCAUUUAAAGAGUGCGUAAUAGCUCACUAGUCGAGUGA